UACGAAGGUCCCAAGCGUUUAUCCGGAUUUAUUGGGUUUAAAGGGUGCGUAGGCGGGCUAUUAAGUCAGUGGUGAAAUCUCCGAGCCUAACUCGGAAAUUGCCAUUGAUACUGAUGGUCUUGAGUACAUUUGAAGUGGGCGGAAUGUGUCAUGUAGCGGUGAAAUGCUUAGAUAUGACACAGAACACCGAUUGCGUAGGCAGCUCACUAAACUGUAACUGACGCUGAGGCACGAAAGCGUGGGGAGCAAACAGG
rnacentral:rRNA from 1 species